rnacentral:lncRNA from 1 species
AUUUGUAGAUUUUGCUAUUGAAAUGAAAUAGGUAGAAAUUAUAUAUAAUGUUACAAAAUUGUUAUGCUAGAAAGGUAAUAAUAUCAAAAUUGUUAAAUAAUUGACUAAAUAUCGUAGAUGUUUUGUGAGAAGAAAUAUAACCAAUAUUGUUUAAGAAAAGAUUAGGGCAGUAUAAAGUUAAAUUAUGUAAACAAUAUUUUCAAAUAAUUCUAUUCAUUUCUUAAUUUAUGUCAUCAAUGUGCAAUGCCAAAAAUCAAAAAUUAUUUGUUUAUUUUAAACUUUAUGAAGAAACCCUUGUAACAUUUUGUUCUCCCUCUCCUUCUAUUGUCCACACUUGUGCUCCUCAAAGGAUUUCCAUAAGCUUUUUUUUUAGUGCCUCCCAUGGCUUUACAAUCACAGCGGCUUUGCCGACAUGGGCUCAAUUUGUUCAUUGAUAACGCUGAUCACUCUUGCUUUCUCCUCCAACUGCAGUUUAUAAGAUAUUGAGGUGUUUGGUCAUCUCACCACAAUAUUUUGCUACUUCCAUCACAACUUAUUCUUAUUAACUUUUUACUUAUUAUAUUAUUAAAUUCUACAAUUUUUUAAGAAAAACUGUGUUAGAAAUAGUAUUAUAUAUUAAUUAAUUUUAAAAAUAUGUUGAAUGGGUGGUGAGUUCUUAUGGCAAUAACAAGAAAUGUGAUAUGUGGUGAAUGGUAAAUUGUGGUAGCAAUAGCAAAAAAU